UCAUGCCCGUGAUUCAGUCGACAGUUUCGUCAAUACGAAUCUAAUCUAGUUGUUAGAUAUUCCACGCCCGUCACUCUGUACCAGUGCAUCACAAUAUAAUUCUGUGUUUGGUUAUGUACUGCACGCAGUGCACGUACCUUAUCCGGCGUCGCCAACUCCCGCGCUGCCACGGCCAGGCGAGUCGAGAACCCACCUGUACUCGCCCUCCGCAGAUCUCCGCUGACUCUCGACGAUGCUUACAACUAUGACAUCGACCGGGGAGGAAUAAGAAAGUGACAAGUAUAUCGGCAAUCGGUUUUCUCGCGUACGGACCUGGCGCCAAGGGCGCCCUAACCUCACCUGUCAAAGGUGGUCACGUUCGCGGGCAGUCUAAUCUGAGUCAGACACGAGUGCACAUCAAUGCAGCGGCAGCGCACACCACUCCGCUGUGCGACGCUGUACCCCAGAUUGGUUAACAGAUCAUGCCAUGCAGUACUCACCACCGCAGUGACAGCACAUGCGUACCCGCAAUGUAAUACUAUACGUAUCUCCGCAGCUAGUUGAAGAUCACUCACUGUGCACCGACGCAGCGACUGCAUAUGAAUCCCCGCAUGUAACACUGUAUCUCCACAGUGAGUACCAGCG